AGAGAGAACAAGUUUAAAGGCCCUGAGGACGGAGCACACCUGAAACAUUUGAGCAACAGCAACAAACCAGGCUUGACUGGAGCAGAGUGAGGAGGAGAGAGUGCAGGAGCCGUGGCAGGAAAGGGGCCCAUGGCCAGAUCCUGGAGGGCCUCAUCUUCCAUCUGAAGAGUCUAGGUUUUCUUCUAAAAGGACCGGAGUAGAUACUUUCAUACUUACUUACAGAAAUAGAAGGAGAUGCUAUUGAUAAGACUUUGGACGCUGAUGGCUGGACACUCCAUUAUAGUUACCUUGAACAUGAACCCAAAAAUGAACAUCUAAAUUAGUUCCUUGAGAGCAUUCAAGAAAAAAGCCAAUCACAUCUAUGUAACAUGUAAACAGCAUCCAUUUCCCGUUGAUGAUCCCAAAUGUGGACUCUCAGCAAAGGGGAAUGAUGCUUCCCUCAGCACCGGGAGGGAAGAAGAGCCAGGCUCCUACUGCUUCUCAGAGGGAUUUGCCUCAAAGUGUGAUUCUAAUCAACACAUGAGCGAGGAAGAGGGGAUGGGACCGAAUCGGCAAAGUCUCCUCUCUAUUAAAUGGAAUAUAAAAAGGUUGAACUUACUGAAGCAGAGAGUAAAAUGAUGGUUGAUGGGCUGGGAAUGGGGGAACUGGAAAGAUGUUGGUCAAAGG
rnacentral:lncRNA from 1 species